rfam:Camelus ferus unplaced genomic scaffold scaffold760, whole genome shotgun sequence.
GAGGGGAUAGCUCAGUGGUAGAGUGUGUACUUAGUAUGCAUGAGGUCCUGGGUUCAAUCCCCAGUACCUCCA